rnacentral:lncRNA from 1 species
UUCACUUUCGCUCUCUCUCUCAAGUUGCUUCUGCGUUCUUCAGGUAUUGACUCUUCUACUUCAUCGAUCUCUCUGUUAUAGUGCUAAUUCUCAUUCAUCUCUUUGUUUUUGUAUAACUUGCUGUGUCUUCUACAACUUAAUCACUGAUCUCUCUGUAAUUCUGCUACUCAUUAUUGAAUUCUCUUCUAUUUUGUUUUUUGAUUUUAAUCACUAUGUGUGUGAGUGUGUGAGUGUGUGAGCGAGCGAGUGAGAUAGAAAUAUUCUCAUUUUUGGAGAUGAAUUUCGUGUCUCUGUGUGUGAGUGAGUAAGAGACGAUAAUUUGAUGAUUUCUCUGCUAGUUAUUUAUUAUUGAUUUCUCUUUUAUUUUGUUUUUUGCUUUUAAUCACGGUGUGAAUGUAUGUGUGAGCGAGCGAGUGAGCGAGAGAGAAAUAUUCUCGUUUUUUGAGUUGAAUUUCGUGUGUGUGAGAGAGUGAGUGAGAUUUUUGUGUACUCAUCAUUGAUUUCUCUGCUAGCUACUUCAUCAUUGAUUCUCUACUUUUUUGGGCUUUUAAUCACUGUGUGUGUGAGAAAAUGUGCGUACGUGUGUGAGCAAAAGAGAAUUUAAUAAUAAAUAUAGCUUAAUAGGAUGUGACUGGUUAUCAUAGCUUAAAAUACAUUUUUAAAUAUAUGUUUUGAUUUUAUAUUGAACAGGUUCAAGAUGAGUCGUUCCAUGUACGUGGCUGAAUUUGACGAGUAAGAUGUCUACCUACAAUUUGAUAUGCUUCUUUGUUUCAUUGGAGAAGGUUUCACUGAAGCUAUGAUUUGAUUUAUGGUGCCUAAUUUUAGCCUAACGAUUAUUUCUUGCUUUUUGUAAUGUAUAGGUUGAAUUCUUAUUUGAGAGAGUUGCCUGGGGGUUAUCAUGAGGUCAUUAAAGGAGAGUUACUUACUUUUGCUUGGAUGGUUGUCUCGUAUCGUUUCAUAAUGUACCGUAUUGCAUUGUAUUAUAUUGUAGUGUAUCGU